GUGUCAGCAGCCGCGGUAAUACGUAGGGUGCGAGCGUUAAUCGGAAUUACUGGGCGUAAAGCGCGCGUAGACGGUUUUGUAAGUCAGAUGUGAAAUCCCUGGGCUCAACCUGGGAACUGCAUUUGAGACUGCAUGGCUAGAGUAUCGAAGAGGGAAGUGGAAUUUCCGGUGUAGCGGUGAAAUGCGUAGAUAUCGGAAGGAACACCAGUGGCGAAAGCGACUUCCUGGUCGAAUACUGACGUUCAUGUGCGAAAGCGUGGGGAGCAAACAGGAUUAGAAACCCGCGUAGUCC
rnacentral:rRNA from 1 species